AACGAACGCUGGCGGCGCGCCUAACACAUGCAAGUCGAACGAGAAUCCGGGGCAACCCGGUAGUAAAGUGGCAAACGGGUGAGGAAUACAUGGGUAACCUACCCUUGAGAAGGGAAUAACCCGCCGAAAGGUGAGCUAAUACCCUAUACGCUAUCUUUUUUUCGAAAAGGAAUAGGAAAGACCGGGUCGAGGACCUGGUACUCAAGGAGGGGCGUCAUGUCCUAUCAGCUUGUUGGUGGGGUAACGGCCUACCAAGGCUACGACGGGUAGCUGGUCUGAGAGGAUGAUCAGCCACACUGGCACUGAGAUACGGGCCAGACUCCUACGGGAGGCAGCAGUGAGGAAUAUUGCGCAAUGGGCGAAAGCCUGACGCAGCGACGCCGCGUGGGGGAGUGAAGGUUUU
rnacentral:rRNA from 1 species